rnacentral:lncRNA from 1 species
UCAUACAUCUAAAAACCCUGUUUCUGCAACCUUUUCAUAACCAAAAAACCCACGCCACCAACGUCACUCACCUACUCGCCAUAACCACCGUCAAACUCCAACCGCCGCCACCGCCGCAAGAACCGAAUUUCUCACACUCCGUUAAAGAUGAAUCGAGCAAAACCCGAAGGCAUAACCUUCACGAAGGAACCCUAUAUCGAGGACUCAGGUCCAAGAAGGAUGUGAGAAGUUCUUGAUUCACUCCUCCUCAUCUUUACCAUUAUCAUCAUAUAUUAAUUUUGAUAAUUAAUUAAUUAAUUAUGUUUGAUUGCAGUGAGAGCAUGAAGUUCUCAACGUUAUCAGAGUCAGAGAUAGGAAAAAUGGCGGAAGUUCAAGUUUGGAAAGGGCAAUAUUAUGACCAGUUUAAGAAACCUAUCCCUUCUGGAUUAUUGGAUCCACGCAUGGGACCUGCUAAUAAGAAUGUUACUUGUACAACAUGCCAUGCUCAAUUUAAAGAUUGCCCUGGUCACUACGGUUAUGUUAAACUUUCGCUUCCCGUUUUCAAUGUUGGAUACUUGGCUGCCAUUGUUGAAAUACUCAAGUGCAUUUGUAAGGUAUAUAAAUCUUGAUUCUCUAGUUUGAACUUGGUUUGUAACUACUUAUGUAACGUGUAUAUAUGAAUUAUGGAUAGCAAUUUCAGAAUGUUUAGCUUUAGGAGAUGGAUUUUUUUACUCAUUAUGUUUUUUUUGUGUGUUAAAAUGUGCCUACAGUAUACUUUAGAAAAAACCCCAAUUUUAAAUGAUGGUUUUCAUGUUAAGAAUUUGAAACUGCAGUGCCGUCUGGCCUUUGGUUUGGAUGUCAUACACUUGGCAACAAUACCUUUGGUUUGGAUGUCCAUUUUCUAUCUGAAAUCAUCGCUCUUUUGGCAGUCGGUCCAAAUUUGAGCUCAUUUUAUUGUAGACGUUUGUGGUCUGUCAUUAUUUCAUUGUCUGACUGAAUAUGCAUAACUGUCAUUCUGUUUCAAAAAUGUGUUGUUGCUUGGCAUAUGUAAGACAUUGGCAAAAGGCAAAAUAAAACAGUAAGGUUAUUAUAUGUUUGGAAUUUAUGUUAAUAUGAAAGUUGCGUUUAAAAGUUUGCACUUCUUGCUUGUUACUAAUGGAAUUCUAUGUUCCCCAAAACAUUUUUUCCACACUGUUAUCUGGCUUGAAAUUUUGUCUAUAGCAUUUAUGCUUUUCCUUAUUUUCUACUCUUAAUUUCGUGUGAGUGUUCUGCUUGAAUGAUAUGUCAAUGUUCAGUGUUUUUUUACAGAGAUAUAAAAAUGUUAAAUAUAAACUCAAGAGAGACCAAAUAUAUAAGAAGAUUAAUCAAAUAUAGAAUUAAAGAAGAAAAUAUAAAAAUAAGAAAAUGUAUAGAAUAAUGUUGAUGUAUUGUGAAAAAGAAUAAAAAUAAUAUCUAGAAGUUUAUGAUGAUUAUUAAUGGAUGAGUUACAAAAAGAUAAUUUUGGAAUGUAAGAAAUUAUGUCAUGGUAGUUCUUUGUAAUUUUGGCUUAAUAUAAUAUACUAGUCUAUACAGACACUUCAUGUGUGCUGGUCAAUAUUGUAUGAUACUACAUAUUUAAUUUUUAUAUAUUUUAUUUGUUUAUAAUUAGAAUGUAUUUGUUGUAUUCAGUUUACUUUAUAUUAUAAUUUUUAUGUCUUUAUGAUAAUAUUUAAUUUAAGGUGGGAGAUGUGGUUAAUGAAUGUGUUGGCGGUGAUUAAUUAAAAUUAUACAAUUUUUUUUUGUAAAAAAUAAAUAAUAUAAAUGGUAAAAUAGAAAGUAAAAAUUACAUCAUGAAAGUUACACCAUAUUUUGGUUUUUAUAUAAUAUAUAUAUAUAGAUGUGAUAUGAUUUGUAUAAAGAUUUAAUUUCUAUACAUUAUUUACUAUUAAUUUAUUAAACUCUCAAACAAAAGUAGUAAAACAAAUAAAUGGUGGAUGAUGACAGUGUAACAUAUUUUAAACUUUUUGUACAAUGGUAGAAAAAGAGAAAGAAUUAUGUAACUUUACUCAAUUUCAGGUAACAAACUCAGUUACUCUAACUAAAACCCUUUUGUGUAACUUGUUUUUAUUUCUCACGGGCCAAGUAAAUACUGGGCUCAUACAUCUAAAAACCCUGUUUCUGCAACCUUUUCAUAACCAAAAAACCCACGCCACCAACGUCACUCACCUACUCGCCAUAACCACCGUCAAACUCCAACCGCCGCCACCGCCGCAAGAACCGAAUUUCUCACACUCCGUUAAAGAUGAAUCGAGCAAAACCCGAAGGCAUAACCUUCACGAAGGAACCCUAUAUCGAGGACUCAGGUCCAAGAAGGAU